GACAGCCAGGAUGUUGGCUUAGAAGCAGCCAUCAUUUAAAGAAAGCGUAAUAGCUCACUGGUCGAGUCGGCCUGCGCGGAAGAUGUAACGGGGCUAAACCAUGCACCGAAGCUGCGGCAGCGACACUGUGUGUUGUUGGGUAGGGGAGCGUUCUGUAAGCCUGCGAAGGUGGCCUGUGAGGGUUGCUGGAGGUAUCAGAAGUGCGAAUGCUGACAUAAGUAACGAUAAAGCGGGUGAAAAGCCCGCUCGCCGGAAGACCAAGGGUUCCUGUCCAACGUUAAUCGGGGCAGG
rnacentral:rRNA from 1 species